AUGGCGGAGGCCGUCAGGCAGCUGCUCGGCCGGCUAGUGCUGGAGCUGCAGCCGAGGCCGGAGGGCAUCGUGGUCGACACCUACCUGACAUGGGGGGUUGCGGUGGGCACGCGGUGCCGGAUACCGGUGUGCUCGCUGUGGACCCAGCCGGCCACCUUCUUCUUGGCGCUCUACCACCUAGACCUGUGGCCGUCGGGUGAUGAACAUGAGCGCGAUGAAGAAUUAAGCACCAAGUCCAUGGAUCAGUAUGUGUCGUGCUUCUCAUCAGUAAGAAUGUCUGAUCUCAUGGUCUUCAGCCGAUGGAAGCGGCACAUGAAGAUAACAGCGGAGGCGUUCGUGAACGUACGUAAAGCGCAGUGUCUCCUCCUCACCUCCUUCCACGAGCUUGAACCCCGUGCCAUCAACACAACAGCAGAGCUACUUCCGUUCCCCGUAUAUCCAAUCGGCCCUGUACACAUGCAGCCGAACGGGAACACGGGCAGGAUCCAGGACGAGGAGCACCGUGACUGGCUCGACGCGCAGCCAGAGAAGUCGGUGAUGUACGUCUCGUUCGGCAGCUACGCUUCCAUGCCGCACUCGCAGUUCCAAGAGAUCGCCAUGGGGCUGCUUGACGCUGGAGUCAAGUUCUUCUGGAUGGCACGGGACAAGGCCCCUGAGCUGCGGGAGAAGUGCGGCGACAAGGGGCUGGCGGUGCCGUGGUGUGACCAGCAGGAGGUGCUGCGCCACCCCUCCGUCGGCGGCUUCCUCAGCCACUGCGGGUGGAACUCGGUGCUCGAGGCCGUGUGCGCCGGAGUGCCGGUGAUUGGCUUCCCCGUCGCGUGGGAUCAGCUGGUGAACGCCCGGAUGGUCGCCGACGAAUGGAAGGUCGGCAUCGACCUGAGGGAGCAGAGGGGGGAGGAUGGGUCUGUGAGCAGGGCCGCCAUCUCGGAUGCCGCGAGGAAGCUGAUGGAUUCGGAUUCUGCUGUUGGCCAAGAGAUGAGGAAAAGAGCCGCACAGCUGCGCGAGGUUUCCCGUAGCGCGGUCCGGGAAGGCGGCUCGUCGCAUCGUUCGUUGAGCGGUUUCCUCGAGGAUCUCGCCGAGGGAAGGUUGGAGGUGGCUGAAAGUUCUCAUUGA
rnacentral:rRNA from 1 species